CUAGGAAUCUUGGGAAUGGGCGAAAGCCUGACCCAGCAACGCCGCGUGGGCGAUGAAGGCCUUCGGGUCGUAAAGCCCUUUUGUGGGGGAAGAUGAUGACGGUACCCCACGAAUAAGCCACGGCUAACUACGUGCCAGCAGCCGCGGUAAUACGUAGGUGGCGAGCGUUGUCCGGAUUUACUGGGCGUAAAGGGCGUGCAGGCGGUUCGUUAAGUUCGAGGUGAAAGCUCCCGGCUCAACUGGGAGAGGUCCCCGGAUACUGGCGGACUUGAGGUAGGUAGAGGAAAGUGGAAUUCCCGGUGUAGUGGUGAUAUGCGUAGAUAUCGGGAGGAACACCAGUGGCGAAGGCGGCUUUCUGGGCCUUACCUGACGCUGAGACGCGAAAGCGUGGGGAGCGAACCGGAUUAGAUACCCGGGUAGUCCACGCCGUAAACGAUGGACACUAGGUGUGGGGGGUAUCGACCCCCUCCGUGCCGAAGCUAACGCAGUAAGUGUCCCGCCUGGGGAGUACGGCCGCAAGGCUA
rnacentral:rRNA from 1 species